rnacentral:rRNA from 1 species
CAGCAGCCGCGGUAAUACGUAGGUGGCAAGCGUUGUCCGGAAUUAUUGGGCGUAAAGCGCGCGCAGGUGGUUUAAUAAGUCUGAUGUGAAAGCCCACGGCUCAACCGUGGAGGGUCAUUGGAAACUGUUAAACUUGAGUGCAGGAGAGAAAAGUGGAAUUCCUAGUGUAGCGGUGAAAUGCGUAGAGAUUAGGAGGAACACCAGUGGCGAAGGCGGCUUUUUGGCCUGUAACUGACACUGAAGCGCGAAAGCGUGGGGAGCAAACAGGAUUAGAUACCCGUGUAGUCCCUGUCUCUUAUAA